UUUAAAUGUAAAUUUUUGAACUAAAUUAGUAAUAGAUAUGAUCUUCAAAUUUAAAGAUUUUGGCGGUAUUUUAGUCUAUUCAGAGGAACCUGUUCUGUAAUUGAUAAUCCACGAUUAACUUUACUUAAUUUUAAAAAUUUGUAUAUCGUUGUUUAUAGAAAAUUUUAAAAGAAAAAUAAUUUUUAAUAAAUUUAAUUAGAUUUUAAAUCAAAUCAAGGUGCAGUUUAUAAUUAAGUUAGUAAUGGGUUACAAUAAAUUUAUUUAUUAAUGAAUAUAAAUUUUAAAAUAUUUAUUGAAGGUGGAUUUGAUAGUAAUAUUUUUAAAUUAAAUAAUAUGAUUUUAGCUCUAAAAUAUGU
rnacentral:rRNA from 1 species